CGGGACGGGUGAGUAAUGUCUGGGAAACUGCCUGAUGGAGGGGGAUAACUGCUGGAAACGGUAGCUAAUACCGUAUAACGUCGCAAGACCAAAGAGGGGGCCUUCGGGCCUCUUGCCAUCGGAUGUGCCCAGAUGGGAUUAGCUAGUAGGUGGGGUAACGGCUCACCUAGGCGACGAUCCCUAGCUGGUCUGAGAGGAUGGCCAGCCACACUGGAACUGAGACACGGUCCAG
rnacentral:rRNA from 1 species